rnacentral:rRNA from 1 species
AGUAAAUAGAUACCCAGGUAGUCCACGCCGUAAACGAUGAGUACUAGGUGUAGGAGGUAUCGACUCCUUCUGUGCCGCAGUUAAACACAAUAAGUACUCCGCCUGGGAAGUACGGUCGCAAGAUUAAAACUCAAAGGAAUUGACGGGGCCCGGCACAAGCAGCGGAGCAUGUGGUUUAAUUACGAAGCAACGCGAAGAACCUUACCUAGACUUGACAUCUCCUGAAUAGUGUAGAGAUACAUGAAGCCCUUCGGGUCGAGAAGACAGGUGGUGCAUGGUUGUCGUCAGCUCGUGUCGUGAGAUGUUGGGUUAAGUCCCGCAACGAGCGCAACCCUUACUUACUAGUUGCUACCAUUAAGUUGAGCACUCUAGUGAGAC